rnacentral:rRNA from 1 species
GAUCCUGGCUUAGGAUGAACGCUAGCGACAGGCUUAACACAUGCAAGUCGAGGGGCAUCACGGGAGUAGCAAUACAACUGGUGGCGACCGGCGCACGGGUGAGUAACGCGUAUGCAACCUACCUAUCAGAGGGGAAUAACCCGGCGAAAGUCGGACUAAUACCGCAUAAAACAGGGGCACCGCAUGGUGAUAUUUGUUAAAGAAAUUCGCUGAUAGAUGGGCAUGCGUUCCAUUAGGUAGUUGGUGAGGUAACGGCUCACCAAGCCGACGAUGGAUAGGGGAACUGAGAGGUUGGUCCCCCACACUGGUACUGAGACACGGACCAGACUCCUACGGGAGGCAGCAGUGAGGAAUAUUGGUCAAUGGGCGGGAGCCUGAACCAGCCAAGUCGCGUUGAAGGAAGAAGGAUCUAUGGUUCGUAAACUUCUUUUGCAGGGGAAUAAAGUGCAGGACGUGUCCUGUUUUGUAUGUACCCUGAGAAUAAGGAUCGGCUAACUCCGUGCCAGCCGCCGC